rnacentral:rRNA from 1 species
ACGGGAGGCAGCAGUGGGGAAUAUUGCACAAUGGGCGCAAGCCUGAUGCAGCCAUGCCGCGUGUGUGAAGAAGGCCUUCGGGUUGUAAAGCACUUUCAGUCGUGAGGAAGGUNGUGUAGUUAAUAGCUGCAUUAUUUGACGUUAGCGACAGAAGAAGCACCGGCUAACUCCGUGCCAGCAGCCGCGGUAAUACGGAGGGUGCGAGCGUUAAUCGGAAUUACUGGGCGUAAAGCGCAUGCAGGUGGUUUGUUAAGUCAGAUGUGAAAGCCCGGGGCUCAACCUCGGAAUAGCAUUUGAAACUGGCAGACUAGAGUACUGUAGAGGGGGGUAGAAUUUCAGGUGUAGCGGUGAAAUGCGUAGAGAUCUGAAGGAAUACCGGUGGCGAAGGCGGCCCCCUGGACAGAUACUGACACUCAGAUGCGAAAGCGUGGGGAGCAAACAGGAUUAGAUACCCUGGUAGUCCACGCCGUAAACGAUGUCUACUUGGAGGUUGUGGCCUUGAGCCGUGGCUUUCGGAGCUAACGCGUUAAGUAGACCGCCUGGGGAGUACGGUCGCAAGAUUAAAACUCAAAUGAAUUGACGGGGGCCCGCACAAGCGGUGGAGCAUGUGGUUUAAUUCGAUGCAACGCGAAGAACCUUACCUACUCUUGACAUCCAGAGAACUUUCCAGAGAUGGAUUGGUGCCUUCGGGAACUCUGAGACAGGUGCUGCAUGGCUGUCGUCAGCUCGUGUUGUGAAAUGUUGGGUUAAGUCCCGCAACGAGCGCAACCCUUAUCCUUGUUUGCCAGCGAGUAAUGUCGGGAACUCCAGGGAGACUGCCGGUGAUAAANCNGAGGAAGGUGGGGACGACGUCAAGUCAUCAUGGCCCUUACGAGUAGGGCUACACACGUGCUACAAUGGCGCAUACAGAGGGCGGCCAACUUGCGAAAGUGAGCGAAUCCCAAAAAGUGCGUCGUAGUCCGGAUUGGAGUCUGCAACU